rnacentral:rRNA from 1 species
GGUAACCUACCUAUAAGACUGGGAUAACUUCGGGAAACCGGAGCUAAUACCGGAUAACAUUUGGAACCGCAUGGUUCUAAAGUGAAAGAUGGUUUUGCUAUCACUUAUAGAUGGACCCGCGCCGUAUUAGCUAGUUGGUAAGGUAACGGCUUACCAAGGCGACGAUACGUAGCCGACCUGAGAGGGUGAUCGGCCACACUGGAACUGAGACACGGUCCAGACUCCUACGGGAGGCAGCAGUAGGGAAUCUUCCGCAAUGGGCGAAAGCCUGACGGAGCAACGCCGCGUGAGUGAUGAAGGGUUUCGGCUCGUAAAUACUCUGUUAUUAGGGAAGAACAAACGUGUAAGUAACUGUGCACGUGCUUGUACGGUACNNANNCAGAAAGGGUUCGGCCUAAAAA